rnacentral:rRNA from 1 species
GACGAACGCUGGCGGCGUGCUUAACACAUGCAAGUCGAACGGAAAGGCCCUGCUUUUGUGGGGUGCUCGAGUGGCGAACGGGUGAGUAACACGUGAGUAACCUGCCCUUGACUUUGGGAUAACAUCAGGAAACUGGGGCUAAUACCGGAUAGGAGCUCCUGCUGCAUGGUGGGGGUUGGAAAGUUUCGGCGGUUGGGGAUGGACUCGCGGCUUAUCAGCUUGUUGGUGGGGUAGUGGCUUACCAAGGCUUUGACGGGUAGCCGGCCUGAGAGGGUGACCGGCCACAUUGGGACUGAGAUACGGCCCAGACUCCUACGGGAGGCAGCAGUGGGGAAUAUUGCACAAUGGGCGGAAGCCUGAUGCAGCAACGCCGCGUGCGGGAUGACGGCCUUCGAGCUGUAAACCGCUUUGUCCUGUGACGAAGCGUGAGUGACGGUAAUGGGUAAGGAAGCACCGGCUAACUACGUG